AGCAGUAUGGUGUAAUUCUGCAUGUGGGGUUCCUGUGACAAAGCCGUCAGACAUGUAACCCCGAGGUCCUUGUUCGAAUCAAGGUACUGCUC